GCGCUGGUAGAAGGCUUUACCGUUGUAGUUCUUUGCUGCUUCUGCAAGGAGAGUGACGUCACAGAAGUAGACAGUGC
rnacentral:sRNA from 23 species